rfam:Camelus ferus unplaced genomic scaffold scaffold1061, whole genome shotgun sequence.
GUGGGUAUAGCUCAGUAGCAGAGUGCAUGCUUACCAUGCUUGAGGUCCUGGGUUCAAUUCCCAGUACUUCCA